AUGGACACCAUGAGGGGGGGACAAGUGGGUGUGAAGGUAAAUGACAAUAUUGGAAAGUUUUUUAAAACUUUUAAAGGGCUUCGCCAGGGGGACUCAUUAUCCCCCCUAUUGUUUGAUUUAGCUAUUGACGCCCUGGCCAUUAUUAUGGACAGAGCUAGAAAUAAGGGAUUUAUUAAAGGGGUUCUCACAUACAAUCAUGAAAAUGGAGUGAACAUGCUGCAAUAUGCAGAUGACACCAUAUUCCUAAUCCAGGAUGAUGAGGUGUCAGCGAGAAAUCUCAAAUUUAUUCUGACUGCUUUUGAACAAAUGUCAGGACUCACAAUUAAUUUUCACAAAAGUGGCAUAUACCUCUUUGGAGAAGCUAAGGCAGAAAGAUAUAUAUUAAGAGAUUUUUACGUGUGCGUUUGGGGAGAUGCCACUGAAAUACCUAGGCCUACCAGUACAUGA
rnacentral:rRNA from 1 species